CAAUCAUAAUGAUAUACUAUUAUAGUUAUAUCUUAACAAUCAUCAUAACUAAUCAUGGCAUCUAAUCAUAUCUCUAAAUAUGAAAUCAUAAUCAUACAACAUGAUUAUAACACAGCAACUUUAUAAAAUACUCUUUUCAUGAUUCUUCUUCUUGAGACAUCACAGUGGCACCCCUACAUGCCAUAAGAGUACCCCAUGG
rnacentral:lncRNA from 1 species